UCAGGCUUUCUUCUGUGAACUUUCAUGAUCUGCAGAAGUUAGUAAAAAAAUUAUUUUACCCAGAUUCUCCUGUAGCUAAAAUUUUGGAUGUCAUAGAGUCUGGGCCAAUCGAACAUACUUGUGUAAGAUUUAGAAGGUAGAAGUGGAGUGGACACUAUGUUCUGCUGUGCUUGUUUUUUUCUAAAAAGCACAAUCACAGGGGAGUUGGGGAUUUUUAAUUUUUAUUUUUUUCCUGUGGCAGCUUUAACAUAGCUACCAGCAGUUAGUAGCUCGGUUUGAGUACUAAGAGGCAGAGCAUUGGGCCCUCCCACCUGCUGGUAUGUAUGCAGGCCUGGUGCAACUUUCUGAUGGGACGGCCUCCUGGUUGUAGCUGCUUCCUCAUCACAGCGGAGGCAGAAACUCCUUUGGUGGCUCAUUUCUGCAUUGUGGCUUUUUGUUCCUGAAAGCUUGACUUGGAGGCUAUUUCUUUGACUUUCCCAAUGAUUCGAUUGUCUUCACAGGUGUGAUUUGAGUUAGUGCUCUUGAGAAGGAGAGCUUAUCUUGGAUUACUCAUUGGGCCCCAAAUAAUUAUAGUGUAAUCUUUUAAGAAGGCAAUAGGGCAAGAUGUGACAUACACAAAGGAACAAGAGAAAACAAGGUAACUAUGAAGACAGAGAUCGGAGGGAUGUAGCCACAAGCCAAGUAAUGCUGGCAGCCACCAGAUGCUGAAAGAAGCAAGGAACAGAAUCUGCUCUUGAGCCUAAGGAGGGAGCAUGGCCCCGGUGACACAUCGAUUUUGGCCCAGUGAUAUUGAUUUCAGAUUUCUUGCCUCCAGAAAAGUGAGGGAAUAAAUUUUGUUGUUUUAA